rnacentral:rRNA from 1 species
CUACGGGAUGCUGCAGUGGGGAAUAUUGGGCAAUGGGCGCAAGCCUGACCCAGCAACGCCGCGUGAGGGAAGAAGGUUUUCGGAUUGUAAACCUCUGUCCUUGGGGACGAAGAAGUGACGGUACCCAAGGAGGAAGCUCCGGCUAACUACGUGCCAGCAGCCGCGGUAAUACGUAGGGAGCAAGCGUUGUCCGGAAUUACUGGGCGUAGGGGGUGCGUAGGCGGCAUAUUAAGUCAGGUGUGAAAUACUCGGGCUCAACCCGGGGGCUGCAUUUGAAACUGAUAUGCUUGAGUGUGAGAGAGGAAAGUGGAAUUCCUAGUGUAGCGGUGGCAUGCGUAGAUAUUAGGAGGAACACCAGUGGCGAAGGCGACUUUCUGGCUCAUAACUGACGCUGAGGCACGAAAGCGUGGGGAGCAAACAGGAUUAGAUACCCCUGUAGUC